rnacentral:lncRNA from 1 species
UCUUGCACACAGCGGCUAUGGUUGCUCGAUCAGUUGCAAGAAUCCACAUUUCUUUGACUAGCCUCAAAACUUCAUCUCAAACAACAAAUUACAUGGUUAGUUGCCACAAAUCCACCUUUUAAGAGACCAAAAGUAGGAGACCAUCUCAUGACAAUACUGGAUGACUCCUUCGUGGAAUGUCGACCUAAACUAAUCCCCUCCGUCAUGUACUUCAUUCACCUUUAACUAAAAUAGGUGUCCACAAUUCAGUCACCAAAGAUUUCAGAGGCCUAUGUUAUGGUGCUUAGAACAACUGCACUCGCAAAUGGUUCAUAUCAACUUCCCAGGGUCCGUACUAGUUCCCAUGUUGCAGGAGGGUUUUAACUGCCUGUAAGAAGUAGCUAAUUUAUUACUGAAAGCUCUAAAAUGUCAAAAGACCUCUGUCUGUCCAAUUUGUUUUGUCGUCAAAUUUCAGUAUCACCAAAUGCAAAAACAUCGGCUCACCCCAGUUCCUCGCUCCCUCC